UACGGGGGGGGCAAGCGUUGUUCGGAAUUACUGGGCGUAAAGGGCUCGUAGGCGGCCAACUAAGUCGGACGUGAAAUCCCUCGGCUCAACCGGGGAACUGCGUCCGAUACUGGAUGGCUCGAGUCCGGGAGAGGGAUGCGGAAUUCCAGGUGUAGCGGUGAAAUGCGUAGAUAUCUGGAGGAACACCGGUGGCGAAGGCGGCAUCCUGGACCGGCACUGACGCUGAGGAGCGAAAGCGUGGGGAGCAAACAGG
rnacentral:rRNA from 1 species